rnacentral:rRNA from 1 species
GGCGACCCGGGGAACUGAAACAUCUAAGUACCCGGAGGAAGAGAAAACAAAAGUGAUUUCGUUAGUAGCGGCGAGCGAACGCGAAUUAGCCCAAACCAGUACUGUUACGGCAGUGCUGGGGUUGUAGGACUGCGACAUUGUAUGCUGGAUGAACUAGAACACGUUGGAAAGCGUGGCCAAAGACGGUGACAGCCCGGUAUAGGUAAAGAAAGUAAUACAUAGCAGUAUCCUGAGUAGUGCGGGGCACGUGAAACCCUGUAUGAAUCCACCGGGACCAUCCGGUAAGGCUAAAUACUCCUGAGAGACCGAUAGUGAACUAGUACCGUGAGGGAAAGGUGAAAAGAACCCCGAACAGGGGAGUGAAAUAGAUCCUGAAACCAUGCGCUUACAAGCGGUCGGAGCCAUUCGUGGUGACGGCGUGCCUUUUGCAUAAUGAGCCUACGAGUUACUGUUGCUAGCAAGGUUAAGUACUUCAGGUACGGAUCCGUAGCGAAAGCGAGUCUGAAUAGGGCGUAUAGUUAGUAGUAGUAGACGCGAAACCGUGUGAUCUACCCAUGGGCAGGGUGAAGCUGUGGUAACACACAGUGGAGGCCCGAACCCGUUGACGUUGAAAAGUCUUGGGAUGACCUGUGGGUAGGGGUGAAAGGCCAAUCAAACUCGGAAAUAGCUCGUACUCCCCGAAAUGCAUUUAGGUGCAGCGUUGUGUUAGUUUUAUAGAGGUAGAGCUACUGAUUGGAUGCGGGGGCU